GGGGAUUUAGCUCAGUGGUAGAGCGCUUGCCUAGGAAGCACAAGGCCCUGGGUUCAGUCCCCA
rfam:Rattus norvegicus chromosome 6, whole genome shotgun sequence.